rnacentral:rRNA from 1 species
UACGAAGGGAGGUAGCGUUACUCGGAAUUAUUGGGCGUAAAGCGUGCGUAGGCGGUUUUAUAAGUCGGGAGUGAAAGCCUGGGGCUCAACCUCAGAAUUGCUUUCGAUACUGUGAAACUAGAGUGUCAGAGGGGAUAGUUGAAUUCCUAGUGUAGAGGUGAAAUUCGUAGAUAUUAGGAGGAACACCGGAGGCGAAGGCGACUAUCUGGCCGACAACUGACGCUGUUGCACGAAAGCGUGGGGAGCAAACAGG